rnacentral:rRNA from 1 species
UACGUAGGGCGCAAGCGUUGUCCGGAAUUAUUGGGCGUAAAGAGCUCGUAGGCGGUUUGUCGCGUCUGCUGUGAAAACCUAAGGCUCAACCUUGGGCUUGCAGUGGGUACGGGCAGACUAGAGUGCGGUAGGGGCGACCGGAACAGACGGUGGAGCGGUGAAAUGCGUAGAUAUCGUCUGGAACGCCAAAGGUGAAAACAGGUCGCUGGGGCUGAGCUGACGCUGAGACACGAAAGCCAGGGGAGCGAACGGG